GAUGAACGCUGGCGGCGUGCCUAAUACAUGCAAGUCGAGCGAACAGACGAGGAGCUUGCUCCUCUGACGUUAGCGGCGGACGGGUGAGUAACACGUGGAUAACCUACUUAUAAGACUGGGAUAACUUCGGGAAACCGCAUCUAAUACCGGCUCAUAUAUUGAACCGCAUGGUUCAAUAGUGAAAGACGGUUUUGCUGUCACUUAUAGAUGGUUCCGCGCCGCAUUAUCUAGUUGGUAAGGUAACGGCUUACCAAGGCGACGAUGCGUAGCCGACCUGAGAGGGUGAUCGGGCAACAUGGGACUGAGAAACGGUCCAGACUCCUACGGGAGGCAGCAGUAGGGAAUCUUCCGCAAUGGGCGAAAGCCUGACGGAGCAACGCCGCGUGAGUGAUGAAGGUCUUCGGAUCUUAAAACUCUGUUAGUAGGGAAGAACAAAUGUGUAAGUAACUAUGCACGUCUUGACGGUACCUAAUCAGAAAGCCACGGCUAACUACGUG
rnacentral:rRNA from 1 species